AACUCAAAGGAAUUGACGGGGGCCCGCACAAGCGGUGGAGUAUGUGGUUUAAUUCGAUGCAACGCGAAGAACCUUACCUAGGUUUGACAUCCGGAAGACCUUCCCGAAAAGGAAGGGUGCCCUUCGGGGAAUUCCGAGACAGGUGCUGCAUGGCUGUCGUCAGCUCGUGCCGUGAGGUGUUGGGUUAAGUCCCGCAACGAGCGCAACCCUAUUGCCAGUUGCUACCAGGUAAUGCUGGGCACUCUGGUGAGACUGCCCCGGUUAACGGGGAGGAAGGUGGGGACGACGUCAAGUCAUCAUGGCCCUUACGCCUAGGGCUACACACGUACUACAAUGGCGCAUACAAAGGGCAGCGAUACCGCGAGGUGGAGCCAAUCCCAAAAAGUGCGUCCCAGUCCGGAUUGCAGUCUGCAACUCGACUGCAUGAAGUUGGAAUCGCUAGUAAUUCGAGAUCAGCAUGCUCGGGUGAAUGCGUUCCCGGGCCUU
rnacentral:rRNA from 1 species